CCUACGGGAGGCAGCAGUAGGGAAUCUUCCACAAUGGGCGAAAGCCUGAUGGAGCAACGCCGCGUGGGUGAAGAAGGUCUUCGGAUCGUAAAACCCUGUUGUUAGAGAAGAAAGUGCGUGAGAGUAACUGUUCACGUUUCGACGGUAUCUAACCAGAAAGCCACGGCUAACUACGUGCCAGCAGCCGCGGUAAUACGUAGGUGGCAAGCGUUAUCCGGAUUUAUUGGGCGUAAAGGGAACGCAGGCGGUCUUUUAAGUCUGAUGUGAAAGCCUUCGGCUUAACCGGAGUAGUGCAUUGGAAACUGGGAGACUGGAGUGCAGAAGAGGAGAGUGGAACUCCAUGUGUAGCGGUGAAAUGCGUAGAUAGAUGGAAGAACACCAGUGGCGAAAGCGGCUCUCUGGUCUGUAACUGACGCUGAGGUUCGAAAGCGUGGGUAGCAAACAGGAUUAGAUACCCGAGUAGUC
rnacentral:rRNA from 1 species